rnacentral:lncRNA from 1 species
UGAUAAUUUACAAAUAGUUGAAUAUAGUAUAAGAUUCAUUUCUGUUUCAUUAUGUGAAAUAAAUACUUUUGAUUUUUAAUAAUAAUAAAAAACUUCAUUCAAUAAAUAACCAGCCUAGUUUGUGUAAACAACAAAUAGAUUGAAAGGCAUUAUAAAAUGCUAAUCCACUGCAAUGACUUGACCUCACUUUACUCCAACCUGAGCAGUUUGUUGAAAAUAAAUGCUGGUCUCUUGCAAUGACUUAAAUAUGACCCCCCACUUCCCUCAACCAAGCAACUAUGUGUUGAAAAUUAAUCUAUUAUGUAAUAAACUUACUAAUUACAUUCUUAAUUCCAUAAGUUUAUUACUACUGUGGUACACAUCAGUCAAUAAACUAAUAAUACUUGCAGGAGACUGCCAUUUUCAUCCCUAUUUUGGGAUUUUUGUAUAUUUAUAUAAUCAUAUUUAAUUCCUCACAUUAUCAUAUAUAUCUUUUCUCAUUUUUUCAUAAAAUUAUCAUACAAUAUAAUUUUUUUAACAUUUAGCAAUUUUGUAUCCAUUAUUGAAGCAUUGCAACGGUG